AUAAUAUAUAAGCAUAUCCACUGGUUAUAAACAUACCUCAUAACUAUCUUCUGCGUUUCUAGAGCUAUUUGAAAUACGCACCCUGUCUUUUAGCUAUUAGUAAGCCACAAUAUUAUUUUAAUAAUAC
rnacentral:sRNA from 1 species